rnacentral:lncRNA from 1 species
AGCAACUUUACAUCAAAAGCCCAGUAGGUAGAUAAAUUUACCUUGGAUUUUCUCCAUAUCUGACUGCAUUUUUUCUAAGAAAAGAAAACAAGAAAAUAUUCAGUCUGCAUCCCACUAUCUGGCUGGAAAAUUAUCCUCUUCAUCAGGCAAUAUGCAGAUACUCAGUAUAAAUCCAUUUCCCCUCAUGACACCUCUCCUCACAUUACCUGUGAACUGCUUUAGACUCUCCGUCAAGAAUAGACAUUUUUGGGCAAAAAUGUGGAUUUUCUCUUGCAAAUCUGGAGGUGUGAUCCAAGGUUCAGGAAUCCUGAUUCUUUCAGCCCUAAAUUUAAAAAACAUGAGUAAAUUUUUUUUUUUUUUGAGAUGGAGUUUCGCUUGUUGCCCAGGCUGGAGUGCAAUGGCGCCAUCUCGGCCCACCGCAACCUCUGCCUCCCAGGUUCAAGCGAUUCUCCUGCCUCAGCCUCCUGAGUAGCUGGGAUUACAGGCAUGCGCCACCAUACCCAGCUAAUUUUGUGUUUUUAGUAGAGAUGGGGUUUCUCCAUACUGGUCAGGCUGGUCUCGAACUCCUGACCUCAGGUGAUCCUCCCGCCUCGGCCUCCCAAAGUGCUGGGAUUACAGGCGUGAGCCACCACGUCCGGCCCAAGUAAAUUCUUUUUCCCAAUUCCAUGACCUUCCAGGAACUAGGACAGGGGCUAAGUUAAACUGUCUAGCGUACACGGACAGUCUUUAAAAUCAGCCACUACAGCUUUUCCCACCUUCUCUUCCUGAGCUAUGAUCCUCUAGACCAAAAUAGGAUACUGUACUCAUUCUCAUACCCCCCAAAGCACCUAGCUCACAGCUUUUCAAAUACUAAGUACUCAAAAAGGUUUACUGAAUUACAUAUGAGGCUGACUUUGCCAGAAAGCACUAGAUUCCAUGACAGUCCUUGAUAUUUAUGGUGGGCAAUUAACCCGAAUUCUCAGGUUCCCAAAUAUGGAAAGAAUGACAUGUUCAGAUAGAAAGGCACUGUGGGGGACAUUACCCAAUUCCCUAGCCCUGCAAGGAUGUCUAUAGCAAAGACUGCCAGUUGCCUAUCCAAUACCCCUUCUGCCAUCUUCUGCCUUUUAUGGCUCACAGCUGCCCAGUCCCUCAUAGCUAGAUGUGACCUUGUGACUAAGUUCUGGCCUAUGAGAAGUAAGACGUAUCUCAUGGUGUUUUGAGAAAUCUACUUAAAAAUGUAACAUGACAGGAAACAGUGGCUCAUGCCUGCAAUCCCAACACUUUUGGAGGCCAAGGUGGGAUAAUUACUUUGAGGCUAGGAGUUCAAGACCAGCCUGGGCAACAUGGUAAGACCCUGCCUCUACAAAAAAGAAAAAUGAAAAAAAAAAAAAAAAAAAAACGAAGAAAAAAAGGUAAUGUGAUGCGACUUAUCUCCUUCUUCUUGGUUGGCAUUCUACCAGCUAUUGUGGACUAUAUGAGGACCAUACCUUAGGGAUGGUAGAACAGUGAAUGGGAAGAAACCUGAGUCUCUGAGGAUCACUGGAGUUACCACACUAGCCACAGACUACCUACCUGCACAUUUCUUACUUUUUUUUUUCUUUUGAGAGGGAGUCAGGCUCUGUCGCCCAGGCUAGAGUGCAGUGGCAUGAUCUCAGCUCACUGCAACCUCCGCCACAAGAGUUUGAGCAAUUGUCCUGCCUCAACCUCCCAAGUAGCUGGGAUUACAGGCAUGCACCACCACGCCCAGCUAAUUUUUGUAUUUUUAGUAGAAAUGGGGUUUCACCAUGUUGGUCAGGCUGGUCUCGAACUCCUGACCUCAGGUGAUCCACCUGACUUGGCCUCCCAAAAUGCUGGGAUUACAGGUGUGAGCCACCGCACCCAACCUGCACAUUUCUUUUAUUAUGUUUAAGCCUUAAGCCAAUAAAAUUUUGGGUUUCCUAUCUUAUAUAGCCAAAUUCAAUCCUUAAUGUCACAAACUGCUAGGGUCUGAGGCAGCUAACUCUGUAUGUUAGGUCACAGCUAGACUGGCAUCAUAAAGUAUCAGGUAACAGUAUUAUUUGCUUAGGUCAUCUGGCUGGGACUGGUAUGAACUCCACCUUAUCUCCAUCCUAGGAUCCCUCAGGAACCUCAAUUCCAUCAACAUGAUUCUAUCAACACAGGCCUCCCAGCCAAACUGCCCCAUCUAUAAGGACCUCCCCAAUCUCCUUAAAUGCUCCCACAUAGUCAAGCUGCAUUUUGCUUUAGAAGGUUUUCACCAUUCAGGAUCUUAAUCACCUUCACAGUACAGCUUCCUCAAAGUCAGUUUCCACCCCUGAAGGCAUUCUUACACCAAACAUGAGCUUCCCAAGGCCCAUCCCACUUGCCUCGUCAUCCAUCCUGCAAAACAACUUUGCCCUGGCUUACUGCCCCCUCCAAGCUCUCCCUCUUUGAUCGUGUUCCAGCUGCCAGGGAGUUCUUCCUCACUUUUUUUUUUUUGAUGGAACAUAGAGAAAUAGCAAGAGUAAGAAUAAGAGCCAGAAUCCAGGUGGCUCAUCAGUAAUUAUGUAAAUGCAGGCCAGUCACACCUUUCUUAGGCUUUAUUUCCCCCAUUACAGAAAAAAAAAAAUGAGAUAAUGAAGGGGGAAAGGAUUCUGAAAUGUAUAGGAAGCAAUAGACAUAAA